ensembl:lncRNA
GGCAGGGGAAACAAUGUUGCAGGAGUCUAUUGUGAGGGAUUAUGGCAGGGGAAACGGUGUUGCAGUGGUCUAGUGUGAGGGGUUAUGGCAGGGGAAACGGUGUUGCAGUAGUCUAGUAUGAGGGGUUAUGGCAAAAGAAACGGUGUUGCAGUAGUCUAGUGUGAGGUGUUAUGGCAGGGGAAACGGUGUUGCAGUAGUCUAUUGUGAGGGAAUAUGGCAGGGGAAACGGUGUUGCAGUAGUCUAGUGUGAGGGGUUAUGGCAGGGGAAACAGUGUUGCAGUGGUCUAGUGAGAGGAGUUAUGGCAGGGGAAACGGUGUUGCAGUGGUCUGGUGUGAGGGGUUAUGGCAGGGGAAACAGUGUUGCAGUGGUCUAGUAUGAGGGGUUACGGCAGGGGAAACGGUGUUGCAGUGGUCUAGUGUGAGGGAUUAUGGCAGGGGGAAAGGUUUUGCAGUAGUCUAGUGUGAGGGAUUAUGGCAGGGGAAACGGUGUUGCAGUAGUCUAGUGUGUGGGGUUAUGGCAGGGGAAAAGGUUUUGCAGUAGUCUAGUGUGAGGGAUUAUGGCAGGGGAAACGGUGUUGCAGUAGUCUAGUAUGAGGGAUUAUGGCAGGGGAAACGGUGUUGCAGUAGUCUAGUGUGCGGGGUUAUGGCAGUGGAAACGGUGUUGCAGUAGUCUAGUAUGAGGGAUUAUGGCAGGGGAAACGGUGUUGCAGUAGUCUAGUGUGAGGGGGUUAUGGCAAAAUAAAUGGUGUUGCAGUAGUCUAGUGUGAGGGGUUAUGGCAGGGGAAACGGUGUUGCAGUAGUCUAGUUUGAGGGGUUAUGGCAGGGGAAAA